UCUGACUGCAGUAAGGCAUUGCUGACUAGAAUGGUUUUAAACGGAGAAGAAAGACACAUGAUCACUUUCCCUGCCAGCCUGGUCCUGUAUCUGGAACUUCUACAUAGAGUUUUCAUCUCUUUAGGAUGAUAACUGAGAAUUUGGCAUAUUGCUCAGGCCAAGGUAACGAUGCAGCUGGCAUAAAUGUGGAGCAACUUCACCUCUUCCAGUCAAUAUUUUUGUUUCCGGACUGGGUAAUGCAAGCAUUGAAUCAAGCUGCAUUACAGAAAACUGACUUGCUGGGUUAUGGGAGCACCCAGGAGUAGCAGGGCAGAGACUGCAGAGAUUAAAAUGUGGUGGUGACUCUCAUAUUGAGCUUUCAAAGAGCCAUGAACAUGCAGCUCUUCAGGAGAGCAUUUGGGGAUGAGUGAAGACCACACUACCUCCAAGAUGUAGGUGCAUUAAGAGGGAUGUUAUCAGCUGCUGUGCAUUUGUUUCUAAUUGUUCACAUUUUUUAAAAUUCUACUCUCUAUUCGUUGUGUGCUGGCCAAAGCCUCUAUGACUGGAGCACUCUGUAAACCAGAGUGAAUAAAUAUAUUCACCUUAAA